rnacentral:rRNA from 1 species
UACGUAGGGUGCGAGCGUUGUCCGGAAUUAUUGGGCGUAAAGAGCUUGUAGGCGGUCUGUCGCGUCUGCUGUGAAAAUCCGGGGCUCAACCCCGGACUUGCAGUGGGUACGGGCAGACUAGAGUGUGGUAGGGGAGACUGGAAUUCCUGGUGUAGCGGUGAAAUGCGCAGAUAUCAGGAGGAACACCGAUGGCGAAGGCAGGUCUCUGGGCCAGCUAC